AUCAUACUCUCUUUGUUCCGAAUUACUCGUCGCAGAAAUAGAUGUAUCUAGAAAUGGAUGUAUCUAGCAUCUAGAUACAUCCAUUUUUGCGACGAGUAAUUCGGAGCGAAGGGAGUAUUUA
rfam:Triticum aestivum genome assembly, contig: Triticum_aestivum_CS42_TGACv1_scaffold_377041_5AL